rnacentral:rRNA from 1 species
UACGGAGGGAGCAAGCGUUACUCGGAAUUAUUGGGCGUAAAGGGCGCGUAGGCGAUUUGAAAAGUCUUGUGUGAAAGCCCCGAGCUUAACUCGGGAAGUGCACAAGAAACUGUUGAAUUUUGAGUUCCGGAGAGGAAGGCAGAAUUCCCGGUGUAGCGGUGAAAUGCGUAGAUAUCGGGAGGAAUACCAGUGGCGAAGGCGGCCUUCUGGACGGAUACUGACGCUGAGGCGCGAAAAGCCAGGGGAGCAAAGCGGG